rnacentral:rRNA from 1 species
UACGUAGGGUGCGAGCGUUGUCCGGAAUUAUUGGGCGUAAAGAGCUCGUAGGCGGUGUGUCACGUCGUUCGUGAAAACCUGCAGCUUAACUGCGGGCUGGCAGUCGAUACGGGCAGGCUAGAGUUCGGUAGGGGAGACUGGAAUUCCUGGUGUAGCGGUGAAAUGCGCAGAUAUCAGGAGGAACACCGGUGGCGAAGGCGGGUCUCUGGGCCGAUACUGACGCUGAGGAGCGAAAGCGUGGGGAGCGAACAGG